rnacentral:rRNA from 1 species
CUCAGAACGAACGCUGGUGGCGUGUUUGUACAUGCAAGUCGAGCGAGGACGGUAGCAAUACCGAGCCGAGCGGCGAACGGGUGAGUAACGCGUAAGCAAUCUGCCCCACAAUCGGGAACAACCGUGCCAACGCGCGGCUAAUGCCGGAUAUUGUAGUCUACUGCAUAGUAGGCCAACGAAAGAUUUAUUGUUGUGGGAUGAGCUUGCGUCCGAUUAGCUAGUUGGCGGGGUAAUAGCCCACCAAGGCGACGAUCGGUAGCCGGCCUGAGAGGGUGAUCGGCCACAUUGGGACUGAGAUACGGCCCAGACUCCUACGGGAGGCAGCAGUAGGGAAUAUUGCGCAAUGGGGGGAACCCUGACGCAGCCAACGCCACGUGUGGGAAGAAGCAUUUCGGUGUGUAAACCACUGUCGGAAAGGAAUAACGGAAGACUUCGGUCUUUAUGAAUGUACUUUUAGAGGAAGCACCGGCAAACUUCGUGCCAGCAGCCGC